rnacentral:rRNA from 1 species
CCUACGGGUGGCUGCAGUGGGGAAUAUUGGACAAUGGGGGGAACCCUGAUCCAGCCAUGCCGCGUGUGUGAAGAAGGCCCUCGGGUUGUAAAGCACUUUCAGUGAGGAAGAACGCCUGGUGGUUAAUACCCAUCAGGAAAGACAUCACUCACAGAAGAAGCACCGGCUAACUCCGUGCCAGCAGCCGCGGUAAUACGGAGGGUGCGAGCGUUAAUCGGAAUUACUGGGCGUAAAGCGCGCGUAGGUGGCGUGAUAAGCCGGUUGUGAAAGCCCCGGGCUCAACCUGGGAACGGCAUCCGGAACUGUCAAGCUAGAGUGCAGGAGAGGAAGGUAGAAUUCCCGGUGUAGCGGUGAAAUGCGUAGAGAUCGGGAGGAAUACCAGUGGCGAAGGCGGCCUUCUGGACUGACACUGACACUGAGGUGCGAAAGCGUGGGUAGCAAACAGGAUUAGAUACCCUAGUAGUC